UCUGACGUAGCUCAGUUGGUUAGUAGCGUUCGCCUGUUAAGCGAAGGGUCGCAAGUUCAAGUCUUGCCGUCAGAGCCA
rnacentral:tRNA from 1 species